UACGUAGGGUGCAAGCGUUGUCCGGAAUCAUUGGGCGUAAAGCGCGCGUAGGUGGCCACAUAAGUCCGUUGUGAAAGUCAAAGGCUCAACCUUUGAAAGCCGAUGGAUACUGUGUGGCUAGAGUACGGAAGAGGCGAGUGGAAUUCCUGGUGUAGCGGUGGAAUGCGCAGAUAUCAGGAGGAACACCAAUAGCGAAGGCAGCUCGCUGGGACGUUACUGACACUGAGGCGCGAAAGCGUGGGGAGCGAACAGG
rnacentral:rRNA from 1 species